rnacentral:lncRNA from 1 species
CGCGGCGCAGCUCCCAAAGUUGCAGACAGCCCGGCGAACCGCGCAAUGCGCUUCUUCUGCCUGCAGCAGAGAAAAGGAAAGAAAACUCCGCAGGGGCUCCGUUGGCUUCUCCACGAGUGACAACCAUGUUUUCCCAGAUAGAAGACCGGAGCCCUGCUCCUUUGCGAUCCGCCGAGGGCUGCAGAGAGCAUCCUCAUCCAUUUGGGCACCCCUGCCCAGGAAGAGCCCGGCCAUCCCUUUCCGGACUGGAUCCUUAAGAGGUGAAUUUUCUUCCGUGGAUUCCGAUUUGCUCCGUCUGACCAGCCUAGGCAAUCCAGCAUCGCGUGGUACCAGUGCCGCUGGGCACACUGGCUUCACGCCGGCUCCGCCUCACCAGCAAGCGCAUUCCCAGAUAAAACACUAACUCAGAGAAGAAAUUUAACUGCAAAUUUGGUUAAUGACCAUGGAUUCCUAAUGAGAAGAAAAGCUAGACACUGAGAGUUUAGAAUAAACUCAAGAAUCUUAAAAAUUUUCCCAUGGAACUGCCUUUGCACCUCUAUAAAAAAUUAAUUGACCAUAUGAGACAGGAUCUCACUCUGUUCAGGCUGGAGUGCCGUGGAGCAAUCAUAGCUGACUGCAGCCUCAAACUCCCGGACUCAAGCCUUCUUGCCUCAGCCUCCUGAAUAGCCGGGACUUCAGAAGGGCACUGCCAUGCCUGGCUAUUAAAAAAAAAAUGUAAAGAUGGAGUCUCACUUUGUUGCCCAGGCUGGCCUAGCUUUAAGUGAUCCUCCUGCCUCAGCCUCCCAGAAUGCUGGGAUUAUGAGCUGAGCCACCAUGCCCAGUCAACUGACAUUUUUCAAUGAUUCUUUUCAACAAUUUUCUUUUUCAUAGUUGGUUUUCAGCAGUUCAAUUAUAAUGUGUUUGGAAGAUUUUUCUUAAGUUUAUUCUGCUUGGAACUUGCUGAGCUUCUUAGAUCUGUCCAUUUAUUUUCCAUCACCAAAUUUGUGAAAUUUUCAGCUGUUCUUUGCUCAAUAAUAACUUUUUUAUCACCAAGAUAUCUCUCUAAGUUUUUGACAUAUUCCUCAUUUGUUUUGAUAAAAGUUUUCUUAUUUUCUUAGAAAAAAUAAGUUACUAAAAGUCAUAUAUCAUUGUAUAUCUUCAAAAUAUUGCUUAAAACUAGGACUUGUAUUUAAAUGUUUUUUCUUCUUAAAGACAAUUUUAAUUUAUGAUUUUCUGAAUUCAGUCCAUAAAUUCAGAUCAUUCAAACUGUUAAGAUGUCUUUUAUGCUGACAUUAUUUUUAGAUUUCCUGGAAUUUCCACCAGGUAACACAAAAUUCUGCUCCUUUACCUCAUAAAGUAAAAAUAAUGGAGAUAAUUAGGUUUAUUUAGCAUUCUCCAGAUGUUUUUACGUCAAAAAUGAAGAGAGACCUUUUAUUUUUUCAACUUAACAAAAAAUGGACAUAUCACAAAAGUUUAGACUUCCUAUCUUAAGUAACAAAACAUUUUAAUAUUAUACACAUUUUUAUGUUAAAAUAAGCAUGCUAUUGUUCAUGUACACAGACUGGUAUAAUAAUUGUUUAAAAUAUUUGAUAUCUAGGUUACUUGAUUCCAAUACUUACGUUAAUCAGGGCUGAUCAUAGUAUACUUUAUAGCACAAAUCAAAGGUCCCGGAGGUUUGUCAAUGUCUUCACUGUUCAUAAUGUGUUCUUACUCCCAGAGUUAUUAUUGACUAUAUCCUUAUACUUGUGUUGUGUAUCAUACCUAAAAGAGAAUUUUGCUUCGCUAUAUGUCCAGAGGAUUUAGAUUUCGAAAGAGACAUCACAGGAAAAAAAGUGUCCUUGAGGCUUGAUGAAAAUGAUAUUUUCAGAUCCUAUUAAUACAUAAUACAAAAGAAAAACUGUAAGGUGUGGACUCUAAGAUCUAUAUCUCUCAAUUAAAGAAAUAUAAUUCAUCCGUGAAUCACUGAAAGGAUGGUCUUAGCAGGACUUCAAGCUGAGGAUCCUUAGGAACUUAGGAAUUCUCCAAAAGCAUAGAUUUUGAGGGUGGAGACAGCUUCAAAUUAAGACCAUCAGAUCAUGGAAACAACUGUGAAUAGUAGACAACUUCCAUUCAAGAUCUAUGAAGAAGAUCCAGAUGACCAGAACCAGUGAUUCCCAUGCUUUAUCUGCAAUAUGUCAUUCUUUAUUUCCCUAGCUAUUUUCUCUCCUCUUUGUUAAAGUUUCUGAUUGCUAACAGAAAGUUAUUAUUUCUUAAACAUAAUAUCUGUACGGUUCCCAUCCUUAAUAAUAUUUCGGCAUGUUUACAUACUUCUUGGCCUGAUUCCAAUACCUGCCAGCAGUUUUAUUGCAAUUUGGCUAAAGAAUACAAUCAAACUGACCUUUGGAUUUGUACUCAUUUUUAUCUGGGUGCCAUCCAGCUUUAUUUGAUACCUUUUCCUUGUUAUAAAUAAGUUGGUUUCCACCAAUCAACUUAUUUAGAUGACAAAAACCGUAACAGACCAGAGAGUCAAGAAACCUAAAGUCUCUGCUAUGUCAAACCUAUAAAUGAGGUGUUUCUUCUUCUGUAGGAAAAAAAUACACAGAAAAGCUAGCCUUUGCAAUCAACCCUUACAGAAAUAGAAUGUAGAAAAAGCCAGGGAACAGUUGGGGUAUAUUUAAAACAUUGCCUAACUUUUACAGACCUUGCAAGAAAGGUGCAUUAGUUAAGCUAAACCCCCAUCCCUGUCCAAUUUACAGAUUGCAGUCAAUAGUCUUUUGUGCUUCAAAUCCAAUACUAGUUGUGAGGGAUUACCCAAUGAUCUGCUUUCAGUGGAAAUGCUCAUAUGGGGAUGUCAGAUAGAAUUGGC